rnacentral:rRNA from 1 species
AGAGUGAACGCUGGCGGUAGGCCUAACACAUGCAAGUCGAACGGCAGCACAGUGGUAGCAAUACCAUGGGUGGCGAGUGGCGGACGGGUGAGGAAUACAUCGGAAUCUACCUUUUCGUGGGGGAUAACGUAGGGAAACUUACGCUAAUACCGCAUACGCCCUUCGGGGGAAAGCCGGGGAUCGCAAGACCUGGCGCGGAUAGAUGAGCCGAUGUCGGAUUAGCUAGUUGGUGAGGUAAUGGCUCACCAAGGCGACGAUCCGUAGCUGGUCUGAGAGGAUGGUCAGCCACACUGGAACUGAGACACGGUCCAGACUCCUACGGGAGGCAGCAGUGGGGAAUAUUGGACAAUGGGCGCAAGCCUGAUCCAGCCAUACCGCGUGGGUGAAGAAGGCCUUCGGGUUAGUAAAGUCCCGUUUUGCGUAGGGAAAGAAAAGACGAAGUACGGUUAACGUUACCCGUUGUUCGUAGUACGGUAACCCAAAGAACUAAGACACCGGACUAACGUACGUACGCCAAGCAACGCCGACGGUAACUCUA